AUGUCUUCAAACUCAAGAAAGAUCGUGACAACUGUGAAGCUAAUACAAAGAAACAUUAACUUCCAAAGAAGAUAUGUGUUCCCGGGCCGGCGCUGUGGCGUAAAGGAUAAAGCCGCAGCCUGCAGUGCUGGCAUCCCACAUCGGCGCCAGUUCAACUCCAGGCUGCUCUAUUUCCAAUCCAGUUCUCUACAAUGGCCUGGGAAAGCAGUGGAAGAUGACCCAAGUCCUUGGAACCCUGCAUCCGCAUGGGAGACCUGGAAGAAGCUCCUGGCUCUUGGUUUUGGAUUGGCACAGCUCCAGCCGUCAUGGCUAAUUGGGGGGGGUGAACCAGUAGAUGGAAGACCGCCCUCUUUUCUCUGCUUCUCCCUCUCUCUUUGUGUAACUUGGACUUUCAAAUAAAUAAAUAAGUAAAUCUUUUUUUUUUUUUAAAUGAUGUAUGCUGCCCAUUAUUUUAUUAGCUGUUGUAUGUGUACAACCACUUCACCUGUUUAACAAUUUAAAAUGUGACUUCUUUGUGUUUGUCCUUUCUUGUUGCUUUCACAAAGGAUGUUUACAUGUUGCAAGAAUUUCCUGUCCUUUCACCUCAGUGUGUAUGGUCCAAGCUAAUAGAAGAACAAGAUAAAGCUUGUUUUUGAUAUCCAUCUCCCAUUUUGAUACUCUACUAAGAUGCCAAUCUACGUUGCACUCUUGAUGACUCUUGGUUGGUAAAAAUUGAAACAGCCCAGCAGCACAUAUCUGUGUUCUGGCCAUUAUGGAGCUCCGAAUUCUGGUGCCUUACCACACCACUGAUUUAAAAAAAAAAUCAGUUAGUAAUCUAAUACUAUACAAGUGGCUUUAUGUUCAACAACAAAGUUUCAAAUAGUAAAAGAGUGGAAAUGUGCUUCCAGAAACAGUUAAUUUUUCAUGAGUCUUUAGAUUUUCUUCAUUUCAUAACGCUUCUUUAUUUAUUAUAAAUAAAAAAUAUAGUUAAUUCA
rnacentral:lncRNA from 1 species